AUUGAACGCUGGCGGUAUGCUUAACACAUGCAAGUCGAACGGUAACAGGCCUUCGGGCGCUGACGAGUGGCGGACGGGUGAGUAACGCGUAGGAAUCUGCCUCAUAGUGGGGGACAACGUGGGGAAACUCACGCUAAUACCGCAUACGCCCUACGGGGGAAAGCGGGGGAUCUUCGGACCUCGCGCUAUGAGAUGAGCCUGCGUUAGAUUAGCUAGUUGGUAGGGUAAAGGCCUACCAAGGCGACGAUCUAUAGCUGGUCUGAGAGGACGAUCAGCCACACUGGGACUGAGACACGGCCCAGACUCCUACGGGAGGCAGCAGUGGGGAAUAUUGGACAAUGGGCGCAAGCCUGAUCCAGCAAUACCGCGUGUGUGAAGAAGGCCCUAGGGUUGUAAAGCACUUUCAAUUGGGAGGAAAACCUGCCGGUCAAUACCCGGCAGCUUGACAUUACCUUUAGAAGAAGCACCGGCUAACUCCGUGCCAGCCGCCGCCGUAACAC
rnacentral:rRNA from 1 species